rnacentral:tRNA from 1 species
ACUAAGGUAGCAAAGAGGUAAUGCUAAAGAUUUAGGAUCUUUAAACAAAGGUUCAAAUCCUUUUUUUAGUU